GACGAGCGCUGGCGGCGUGCUUAACACAUGCAAGUCGAACGGAAAGGCCCUGCUUGCAGGGUACUCGAGUGGCGAACGGGUGAGUAACACGUGGGUGAUCUGCCCUGCACUUCGGGAUAAGCCUGGGAAACUGGGUCUAAUACCGGAUAGGAGCCAUUUUUAGUGUGAUGGUUGGAAAGUUUUUUCGGUGUAGGAUGAGCUCGCGGCCUAUCAGCUUGUUGGUGGGGUAAUGGCCUACCAAGGCGGCGACGGGUAGCCGGCCUGAGAGGGUGGACGGCCACAUUGGGACUGAGAUACGGCCCAGACUCCUACGGGAGGCAGCAGUGGGGAAUAUUGCACAAUGGGCGCAAGCCUGAUGCAGCGACGCCGCGUGGGGGAUGACGGCCUUCGGGUUGUAAACUCCUUUCGCUAGGGACGAAGCUUUUUGUGACGGUACCUAGAGAAGAAGCACCGGCUAACUACGUG
rnacentral:rRNA from 1 species